UGGAGCAUGUGGUUAAUUCGAAGCAACGCGAAGAACCUUACCAGGUCUUGACAUCCCCUGACACCCGAGAGAUCGGCGUUCCCCUUCGGGGGACAGGGUGACAGGUGGUGCAUGGUUGUCGUCAGCUCGUGUCGUGAGAUGUUGGGUUAAGUCCCGCAACGAGCGCAACCCUCGACCUUAGUUGCCAGCAUUCAGUUGGGCACUCUAAGGUGACUGCCGGCUAAAGUCGGAGGAAGGUGGGGAUGACGUCAAAUCAUCAUGCCCCUUAUGACCUGGGCUACACACGUGCUACAAUGGGCGGUACAAAGGGUCGCGAACCCGCGAGGGGGAGCCAAUCCCAAAAAGCCGCUCUCAGUUCGGAUUGCAGGCUGCAACUCGCCUGCAUGAAGCCGGAAUCGCUAGUAAUCGCGGAUCAGCAUGCCGCGGUGAAUACGUUCCCGGGCCUU
rnacentral:rRNA from 1 species